AUCCAGAAGGCUGGUAAUGGUAACUGAAGAGUCUCCUGACUGACCUCCAGAAUUUCCCUGGAAAGGAUCUUCAUCUGUCAGGGGUGCUGUGGAAGGAUUCUUCAUGACCUAGAAUGUCACUUCCAAGUCCAAGAUAAGUGUUUUUUUAUUAUUCCAUUCUACAGAGCGGAGACCUAUGGUAUGUAAUUAAAAUAGCUUGUUGUUUUAUUUGAUUAUAAAUAUAAUACAUGGUCAGCAUAGAACACAGAGAAAAGUGUUCAUAAAAAUAAGCAGUAUUUUAUUAAGAUGACCACUAUCUCUGAAGGAUAAAUAGCUAAAAUUUGUGAAUGAAAUAAGACAAAUCUCAGAGUUCUUUGUCCCCAGGAUUUUGGUGCUCUGUUUGACCAUCUGCAUGGGGAUGGACAGGGAUAAUCUUUCCAUGAACAAAUGCAAGGCAGGCAAGCAAAGGCGUGGCAGAUAUAAAACAGGAGACAACCAAAAACCCUCUUCUUUUUGAUUUUUACAUGCAUUUUCAUACUUCCAUUUGAGCAGAGACUCGUCUGGUAUAUUUGAAAAUUCACUUCAAAGGAAAUAAUAAAAUCUUGGUGCAAGAGAAAUUGAAGUGCUUUCCAAUUUCCCAACUUCAAUAAAAUGCUCCCUAGUGUUACUCUGAAAGUCACUCUGGAUGGGAAAUUGACAGCAAUGGUUCAUUUCCAAGGUGGUGACGGAGGGGACAGUGAGGGUGGCACUGAGCUAGGGCCAAUAUAGCACCGGGACUGGGAGAACCUGGUCUCUCAGCAGUGAGUGCCAAGAUUCCAAAGCUCUCUGUGCAAAGAUCAUGGCUAAUUGUGGCUAAGAGGCAGUUUUGGAGUAUCUGAGCAGAGGGUGUGUGGCAUCUGAAGCUUCUGGCAGCAUCAUACUUCCCUUUGGAGGGCUGUCGAAAUCAUAGACCCAGGAGAGCCACUCAGAUGGAGACAAUGGGUGUUUUUUGACUCUCUGAGCAGUUAAAUGGGUCCAGAUUAUUCAUGUGACUCAGUGCAGAGAAGAGCACCAAGACCGGUCAGGAGCAGCAUCACCCUCCUUCUGGCGCUGGCAUGUAUUCUCAUUAACCUCCCAUGAACCCAUUGUCCUGGACAUCUCUUAACUCCUUCUCCCCAAAUCUCUAAGCCCUUAGGUCAUUCUUUGGCUCCUGAUACCCACCUCAGGCUUCCUUUGCUUUCGUGAUAGUCUGGAUUUCUCAGAUGGCAGGGUAUUCGUCUGGCCAGCCUGACUCUUUUCUGGCAAACACUUUUGGCUCCACAUCUCCAUUCACCCUGACCCUGUGCGACCCUUCCAGGAAAGUGAAUUCCGAUAAAGGACAGCAGUCAGGGUCUAAUCCUAUGUUGGUCGGAUGGAAAAGUUUUAUUGGAGCUAGGAAAAAAGGACAAGACCCACACAGUUCACUAGAUCGGGCUCAGAGGUGAGAGCUAUGUCCACUGGGGAAAUAAAAGGUAAGUCAGAUUCAGGGUGAAAAGAGAGCCAGACAAAUGCUCCAGACACAGACCAUGCUUGGUAUGUUUCAGAAUGAGUCUCACUCAUGUGUCACAGUCCUCAUUUUCAAGAUGCAGGUUGAGAGGCUGGUCUAAUGUCCCCAAAGCUGGAAGUUGCAGACCUGGAACGUGGGCCCAGGCAUUAUCAUUAUCCUUGUUACACAGAAGAGAGACCUGAGGUCCAUAAGUUGGAAAAGGUUGCUCCCCAGAAAGAAGCAGGAGGAAGGUGGAAUGGGUGCCAAAAGACCAGAAGCUAACCAUUGUCCACUGCAAUGCAGCAUCUAUAGCCACCCUGCUUCCCUUAUGCGUAUUCUCCAAACACCUUCACUUCACAUAAUUCAAUGUUCUGGGUACAACUGACAACACUCUCACUUCUUUACCAAAAAGGAGCAUAUGACACUCCUGUCAAUCACGCCUGCAGCUCCACGUCCAGAAUCUCUGCUUGGUGUUUCCUUCACCGCCACUUCUGUGUGAGCCCAUCUAGAUAUUCGACAGUCUGUGAGGCAGAUGGUUAAUUUAACUAUCACCCUCCCAGCCUACACACUACGUGAGGCAAAAAGAGGAGGAAAGUGGAGGGAAAUUAAUAAGAUACAACAAUGCAGUUUGAGAUUGGCCACGCGCCUUGUUUAUAUCCAUUUGACCCUCUCUAUCUCCACUUGUAUGCCUGUGUGCCACUUUUAUGUCUAAAGUGAGUCUUGACCUCCCCCUAAAACCUGUGCAGUCUUCCCACCUCUGGGCCUAGGCCAGAAACCUUGGGGACCCCCUUGACCCCUCUCUUUUUCAUAUUAUGUCAAAGCUAUCAGCAGGUCUCAUCGGUUUCACUUUCAAAGUCCAUCUAGAAUCCAAACACUCUGCACCUUUUCUGUGAAAACCCUGAUGCAAACACAUCAACUUUUGCUAAGAUUGUUGUCAUGACCUCCUACCUCCUCUGCCUGCUCCUAGUCUUGCCUACUAUAGUCUAUUCUCAACACAGCAGCUAGAGCAAACUGUGAAAAGGUUGUCAGAUCAUUAAACAGCAUCCUGCCCUAACCCCCAGUGGCCUCCAGUACUCUGCAGCUGGAAACUAAAUUCCUCAUCAUGCCUGCAGGGUAUGCCUGAUCAGGUGCCUGUGACUCCCUGAUGGUGACCCCAGCCCUCUCGCUUACUCUACUCCAGCAGCCCUGGCCUCUUCACACGCCUGGCUUGUCCCCACCACACCAUGUGUGCGUACAUUAUCCCUUCUACUUGGAGAUAUCCAUGGGGCUUGCUCCCUGGCAAAUGCUUCUUGUCCUUAUUCAAAUGCCAGCUUCUCAAAGAGGCCUGCUCUGACCACAUAGUUUAAACCCUCUUCCAAGCCCAAAUUCUCUUUCUCUGCCUUUAUUUCCCCCCAUAUUUCUUAUUGUCUUCAGCAUAAUAUGUUUUACUUUUAUAUGGUUUAUUAUCUGCAUAAGCUCCACGAAGAAAAGGAAUUUUGCCUGUUCUAUUCAUCACUCGCCCCUUGGACCAGACAGUGCUUGGCACAUAGGAGGUGCUCAAUAAAUAUUUGUUGAAUGAAUGAAUGAACGAAUGAAUGGAUGUGUGCUUGAAUUGCUUACAGGGCCGUAGCUGGUAUUCCACCAGUCUGUAAUGCUUCCCUCUUCCAGUGCCCAUUCUACUUUCUCUCACCUUUUCCCAGCACUUCAGCCAAUGGAGAGCUCUCGGGAAGGUUAGCGUGACCUGAAUCUGGUGUACCUGCCUGUGCAGAGCUGCUGCCGUCUUCCAUUACCUUUAUUGCAGGUCAGAGUGCUAAGACUUUCCCUGGGAUCCCCUGAGUUUUGUCUGUACUUUUCCUAUUCCCCACUGUGUAAUAGCAGCCCGAUUUCCCCCUUAAUACUCCAGUCAAUCAUCCCAGCCAGCACGGUAACCAUUUUCCUCCCAGUGAAAUGAAUAGCAGGAAAUACGUGGGUGGCAGUCUCAGCUUCCAAUUCCAAUCUCUCUCCUAAGAGAGUCAGACUUAUGGGUACAGGAAGUAAAACGUUCGUAAAUGGGUCAUUAGGUAUGUUCAUGAGAGAGGCCCUUCUCACUUGCCCCUCCUUGUACUGGGCCCAUGUGCUCCAACCAUGGGGGAAAUAGCACCAUAUCUUGGACCCUGGUGCACAGCCUUCAGAAAGACAGUGCCCAAGCUGGAAUGUAUCAUCUUCCAGCUGGCACUGUAAUUGAGCCAUCAGUAAGCCAUUCCGCCAAGCCGUAAAGGCAGAUGCUUCUGGCUGACAGGAGUCAUGAGAAGACUGCAUUGCUUGGGCACCAGCUCAUUGCCUUUCUUCUCUGCCUGGGGAGUACAUUCUUUGGUCAGAAGCAAUGUUGUGUGAGACAGUGAAUAAUGUAUUCAGUAACUUGACAGAUGACAGUGCUGGCAGAGGCCUGACAGGCCAGGAAGCAGAAGUAAAAUCAAAUCCAGGAAUAAAAGUCUGCUUCAACUGGACAAAUUGCAGAGCCCUGCAAUACAGGAGGGCCCAUCGUAACUAACCUGCCACCAGGUAGCUGGAGGACCUCCUAGAGGUAUGUUAUCACACUGCCAACCCCUUCAAGUCCAAGCUGGUCACCCCUGGUGACGGCACGCUGGCCAUAACAUAAUUAGUUGUGUUUUGCCAUUGUUUAUGAUGAUUUGGAGGAGGGGGAGCUCCAAGGAAUGACAGAAUGCUAAAAAACAGCCCGAAAGAACAAGGACCAAGGAAACUCAAGGUAGUAUGAAUUUUGAUAGCCCCAUCAGAACACAGCUUCUGGAAUAAAUCAGCAUGUACCAUCUUUGUGCUCGUUGUGACUGCUCAAAACUCUCGUCCUGGUGUGGAGGAUCUGAGUGAGCCUGCUUAGGUGCCAUAUCUCUGCUUCUUGGCUAUUCCAGACUGCAUCUCGUGAGAGAGAGGCAAUUUCCUCAAAGGAAAUCAAGAUGCUAAUGUUAAGGCGAAAGGGACACUAAACAGCUAUAAACUCGACAAGUUUCCCUAUAUUGGACUUCUUGGUCUGAAGAUCUUCAAGGUGUUCAGAGGUCUUUUGGUGGGGAGGGUCGUGAUGGUUGGGUGGUGGGGUGAAGUGACCAUUAGUCAGGAACUCAGAGAGUUGGUGCAUAAUAAAUGUUGGAUGCUUCCUACCACCCACCUCUCUCUCUACCCCAUCCAUCUCCCUGUGCACAGCCUGAGCUGCUGAUCUUACUUUUUGAUAAUGUGAUAACCACUCACGUUCAUCUCAGAAGUGACCUUUGUCCCAGUGACCUGUGCUCUACCUUUUUAAGGACUGCCCUGACCUCAGGCAUGCACAUCAGGCCACACUGCCGGUUUUUGGUUUGGAAAGUGUGGCUGCAGUCGCCCCAGGCUGCUGGCUCUGCCUCUGAUUAGGUUCACUGUGGCCUUCCAGACAUGGAUUCAUAUAAAAGGCCGCCAUAAAGGAAAGAGGAAAAAAGUGGCUGUGCUGAGCCUCAUGGCAGGUUUUCAUUAGGUCUUGAUGAAGCCUGGGCCUGCAGUCCCCGAGGCCCUUUUCAAUUUCCACUUGAUCUGGCUCAGCGUGCUCCUUAGCCUUGAGGACCCCGAAAGAGCUGGGCGAUUCCUGGGCUCAGGUGUCGUCCAGAACUAAGCUUGGGCUGCGGGUGAGGAGGGAUCUGGAAAGAGACUUUCUAUGGCUUCCAAGAGCAGCAGCGCUGUGUCUCGAAGACUUUUUCCCUGCCUGGUUCUCUGCUGGGCUCCCACCUCUUGAGAGGGAGCCCUGGGAAGCCCUGCCUACGACGUGAGGGAGUCUGGGCUCCAGUUCCAGCCCUGGCAGCCUGCUGGCUCUGUUGCUUGCAUGUUUCCCCUUGGAGCCUCGGCUUCCUGUUCUGUGGAGUAUUGUCAAGAACAGUGUCUGUUCUGUAAGUAGGUGUGUGCAUAUGUGUGCAUAUUUAUUGAUCACGCAAGUAGUUAGGCACUCGGCAAUGCAUUUUAUCAACACUAUUUUAUUUAAUAGUCACGUUUAGCUUUGGGGUUUAAAUAUUAUUAAAUUUACUUUAUCAAUGAGAAAACUGAGGCUCACAAAAGGAGCUAGCUAACAGACGGUUUCGCUGGCGUCAGAAUCCCGCCUGUCGGACCAAACUCACAGCCGCACUUUGCUAUCUCUGUACCUACAUUCUGAAUGCUAUGUCUGGGGCAGAGCGGCCACUUCACAGUCAUCACUACUCUGUUUGAACAUAUGCUUAGUUUCCACGCAUGUGAGUCUCGCUGACUCCACGCACGAGGGCCUAGCUGCCAGGAGCGAUAUUUUGGCAGUGCUUGUCACUGAGAGCAGUUUCAUAUGCUAAUAAGGAUGAACAAUUCAGGGUCAGUAAUCUGUCUGGUGUUUUCCAUCCCUGUUCCUUGCUGGGGCACAAAGUAGACCAGGGAUGAUGCUUCCUGGAGGGAAGGCCAGGCCAUCUGCAGAGCUGUCUCCGUGGAGGGCUUGGUGAGCCUGUUUCUCCCGUGCAGGUAGGGAGAAGGACUGGGGGAGAACAGCCUCUCAUUUAGGGGCCCUUCGUGCUCUGUGCUGGCAGCCUGGCGGCUGCAGGGAGCUGCCGCUCUCCGCGCUGGGACGUUCUCUGCUGCUGAGCAUUUCUCUCUUAUCUCACAUUUCCCAGCGACUGUUUUAAAUUAGGCACCCUGGGAUUCUCUGGACUUCGUAGAGCCCAGUAAACCCUCCCUGGGGAGCAGGCCUAGAAGGCCACGAGGGCUUUUCCUAUUUAGGCUAACGUCUAUGUCACCCUCGAGCUUGGAGGAAUUUUCCAAGCCACUAAUUUGUACUUUGCCAGGAGACGAGAGUGAUGAGCGGUAUUAUUUUAGGCUUUCUAAAUUGGAGCACUGCUUUUGGGUACUUGAUAUUCUCAAUUUCUUAUUUCCUUCAACUCAGAGAUCUGGCAGUUUUUAUUGUGUUGUUUAAAAGGGCAGUUGGGUUUUUCAGAGAAGUAUUUCUGACCCCUCUCUUCAAUGUUCUAAAUGAUAACUUUUGGUUCUGCAAUUUAAUUAAACAAAUAUUUAUCAUGUGCCUAUUAGAUGUCAGGUUCUGAGCUAAGAGCUGCAGAAGGUAUAAAGAUCAAUGAUUUAUUCAUUCAUGCAUUCAUCUAGUCCUUCAUUCAGCGAGCCUUUUUGAGCACCUGCUAUUAACCAGUUACUAGCAGGUGCUAGAACUGGAGCUGUAUGUCAGUUAGGACUGCAUUCUGCUUGGAGUAAUAGAAAGCCUAACGAAAGUGCCUUAAAUAAAUAAGGGUUUUCUUUUUCUUAUACGUCAAGAUGGCUGGAGUCAAAUAGCUACUGGUAUUAGUUAAUAGGCUCUAUGAUGUUUGGGAUGAUAUUUCUGCUCUUGCUGAGCCUCUUCCUCAUGAUCUCAAGAUAGCUGCUGCAGCUCCAGCCAUAAUUUCCACGUCAAGGCAGGAAGAAGGAAAGGCUGUCAGCCAAGUUAGGACAUUUUUAUCAAGAAAACAUAAACUUCCCCACAUCACUCACUCUCAGCCAAUUCCUCCUUAUGGAUCAUUGGUCAAGAUAAAGUCACUGGUCACUCCCUAGGUGAGAGGGAACCUGGACAGGAGACAGGGCUGUCAUGAUUAGCUUUGACCUGUCAUGCUCCCUCUCGGACUUCCGUUAGUAAGGAAGAUAGGAGGGUGACAUUGGAUAAGUAAACAGUAUUUGUAAAAGCACUAAAUGGAAGCGUUAGUGUACUUGCAUCCAGGGAACUGUCAUCUUGGCAGAGGCAGAGGGAGGGGGGUGCUAAACAGAGGAGUGGGGGCGGGGUGGACCACGGUUGCACAGCACUUCACGUGCAUGAGUCCGUUUGAUCCUCAAUAUAAACCUGUGACACAGGCUGAACAGACAUCAUUAGUCCCACUUUAUAGAUGCCCUCGUCUAUAAAACUGAGGCAUGGGGGCCGGGUCCAUGGCUGAGUGGUUAAGUUCGAGUGCUCUGCUGAGGCAGCCCAGGGUUUGGAACCUGGGCGCAGACAUGGCACCGUUCGUCAGGCCACGUUGAGGCGGCGUCCCACAUCCCACAAUUAGAAGGACCUGCAACUAAGUUAUACAACUAUGUACAGGGGGGUUUGGGGAGAUAAAGCAGAAAAAAAAAAGAAGAUUAGCAACGGUUGUUAGCUCAGGUGCCAAUCUUUAAAAAAAGAAAAAAACCGAGGCAUGAAUAGACUAAAUGACGGUAUUCUGGGGGCCAUGUGGGUAAGAUGCAGUAAUCCAGAGAACAAAAUCUAAAUCUGCUGACUCUCGUCCAGUGUUCUCACCAUAGUCCAAGCAUCUAGAGCUGACAUGUGUGGCUUCUGUCCUCUCACCUCCUUCCAUUGUGAAUCGGCUGCCUGCAUCAUGGCCUUAGCCAUCUGUUGACACCCCAUCCGCCACCUGCAUAACCACCAACCCAUCAUCCUCUCAUGCACCCAGUGGCUCCUGCACUCACUCAAAGGCUACCAUUGAUGUGAAGUAGGCAAGCCACAAAUGUCGAAGCAAAUAUUGAAGAAAGAGUGAUGAAUUAAUCCUAAAAGUCAGAUAUUUUUUAAAGGAAUACGAACCACAGAUAUAAGAAAUGAAAGGUUCAAGUUGACUUGCCCAAGGAAGCCAGCCAGAUGGGAAAUCUUCUUCCUAAAUCCCUAAACGUGUUAGGUCUACCUUUCACCGUACAAGUCUCGCAGCAGAGGCCUAGAGGAUCAGAAACAAGGAGCUGAUUUGAAAAUAAAGGUUAUGAAAAAUGGAAAGGAAAGUUCACGUGUGGAUACAGCAAGAAGGCAGCUGUCUACAAGCCAGGAAGAGAGCUCUCACUGGGAAGUGAAUCUGCUAGCAUCUUGAUCUUGGACUUCCAGCCUCCAGAACUAUGAGAAAUAAAUUUCUGUUGUUUAAGCUUCCC
ensembl:lncRNA